rnacentral:rRNA from 1 species
ACGGGAGGCAGCAGUGGGGAAUAUUGGGCAAUGGGCGCAAGCCUGACCCAGCAACGCCGCGUGAAGGAUGAAGGUCUUCGGAUUGUAAACUUCUUUAAUCGGGGAAGAAAAAAAUGACCUACCCGAAGAAUAAGCCACGGCUAACUACGUGCCAGCAGCCGCGGUAAUACGUAGGUGGCAAGCGUUAUCCGGAUUUACUGGGUGUAAAGGGCGUGUAGGCGGCUCUGCAAGUCAGAAGUGAAAUUCCCGGGCUCAACCUGGGCGCUGCUUCUGAAACUGCAGAACUUGAGUACUGGAGGGGAAAGCGGAAUUCCUAGUGUAGCGGUAAAAUGCGCAGAUAUUAGGAGGAACACCGGUGGCGAAGGCGGCUUUCUGGACAGUAACUGACGCUGAGGCGCGAAAGCGUGGGGAGCAAACAGGAUUAGAUACCCUGGUA